rnacentral:rRNA from 1 species
AUCCUGGCUCAGAAUCAACGCUGGCGGCGUGCCUAACACAUGCAAGUCGAGCGAGAAAAGGGGAGCAAUCCCCUGAGUAAAGCGGCGCACGGGUGAGUAACACGUGGGUAAUCUGCCCUGGAGUGGGGAAUAACACCGGGAAACCGGUGCUAAUACCGCAUACGAUAACGAUGUCUGCGGACGUUGUUAUGAAAGGAGCAAUUCGCUCCAGGAGGAGCCCGCGGCUGAUUAGCUAGUUGGUGAGGUAAAGGCUCACCAAGGCGACGAUCAGUAUCCGGUCUGAGAGGACGGUCGGACACACUGGAACUGAGACACGGUCCAGACUCCUACGGGAGGCAGCAGUGGGGAAUUUUUGGCAAUGGGGGAAACCCUGACCAAGCAACGCCGCGUGGGUGAUGAAGUCUCUUGGGACGUAAAACCCUUUCGACAGGGAAGAAACCCGCAAGGGUUGACGGUACCUGUAGAAGAAGCCCCGGCUAACUCCGUGCCAGCAGCCGCGGUAAUACGGGGGGGGCAAGCGUUGUUCGGAAUUACUGGGCGUAAAGGGCGCGUAGGCGGUCCGCUAAGUCGGAUGUGAAAACUCUGGGCUCAACCCAGAGCCUGCAUCCGAAACUGACGGGCUAGAGUUCUGGAGGGGGUAGCGGAAUUCCUGGUGUAGCGGUGAAAUGCGUAGAUAUCAGGAGGAACACC